GUGGCAAACACAUGAACAGCUUAACGUGGUUUUGCUUUACGUGUGGUCGGUGUUUGGAGUUUUUAAAGGACGCGGACAAGACGGAAACAUUGGAAACACAGGGGACGUCUCGACAGCCGGACAGUGCUAUGCAAAAACAACCAUGCCCAUCAUACAAACAGUUCAUGGAGUACAGAAGCUCGAAAUCAAAAGAACGACAGUCUUUUAACUAUGGGCCAAAAGGAAGAUAUAGGCCUAAAGAAAGAAAACACGUCCAGAUAAACGUAGGAUUGAUGGUGCCAAGUGGAACUGAUUUAAAACCUCUAAGAGGGAAAACACUACAGUUAUUUACAGACCCAGAGGUAGCAGCACCUGAUCUACUGAAACAAGCUGUCCAGAAAAUGACAACAUUUAACAAGGACAUGCACGAAGGACCUUAUGUCCUUUUGUAUCCAGACUGCUCAGAGGUGGUUCAUGUGCCUGGGUCAGAAAGGCCAUUCAAAUUGGCAGAAUAUAAAAAGGAAAUAGGAAAGGCAUAUUCCAGGAUCACUUUUUUCAUUUGCCUAGAAAAACACUAUAAAAGAGGUUAGUGGAUCUCAUGAUUCAAUAUUUUUACAUAUUUAGAUACUCUGCUGGAGGAUAGAUAAUGGUUGUUUGAAUUAUUUUUUUCAGUGGAUGAAACCUCAGACUCUGAUUCUGAAAUUGUCAUCACAACAAGGAGCACAGCUGAACUCAAUCGUGCUGACACUUUGGUUUUUGAACCACAAAAUCGAAGUACUCCCAAACACAAGCUGGACGAUGAAAGAGAUGCACCAGGACAAUCAACAAUUCAGCCUGGACAGAUAGUAAUAUCUGAUGCUGAGGAUCUGGAUCCACCGGAAGCAAAUCCAGAAAAAAUGUCUUGCUACAGUAAAUACACAGACCUGUAUUCACCAAAUGUUGAGCAGGAGGACGAAGAGCCGGUUGCUGUCAAUGUGAAGAAUUUCCAACACACAGCAAUGGAGGAGACGGACAUUGCAUUACCUGACAUCGUAGCAAACCUGUCUCUUCCUAUUGAUCAUAAAAAAGUCAGCCGGUUUAACAUCUCAAGGGAUAAUGUUUGGGAUGGGGCAGUCAGAGGUUUCAAGCGUACAACAUAUUCUGAAACCUGUGACAUGCUGGUGAAAUUUACUGAUGAUACUGGUGUUCUGGAAGAGGGAAUUGACACUGGUGGUCCAAGACGAGAGUUUUUAACUCUACUGAUGAAACACCUAAAAGACCGGCCCAUUUUUGAUGGACCAGAAGGACAUCGGUUCUUGGUCUACAAUGCAAAGGAUUGAGAAUGCUGCUUCAUUGGAUGCUCUGCAAUAAUGUAUGAUGAGACACAGCACAAUGUUACAGACAGCAGGUUGUCUGAGACAUGUGGCUACUGUGGAAGAAAAUAAAGAAAUCGUGUCAGACUACCUCCAAUGGUAUAUCAUUGACCGCAACUCAUCUGUAAUUGACAGAUUCAGAGAUGGUCUUUCAACCCUGGAGUUUUUGACUGCACUACAGCAACACCCUACUUUGCUGGCCCCUGUCAUGUGCCACUCUGAAAGGCGACUCACUGCUUUUGAACUUGAGAGACUCUUCAAACCUGACCUCAGUCCUUCGGGGAGUAAUCGAAGACUUAAAGAAAGUCAAACCAUGGCCUACUGGGCAGACUAUCUCCUUGAUUGUGAAGAAGGCCAGGCUGCUGUGUCUGUGGAAGAUGUUUUGAUGUUUGCUACUGGGCUGUCUUCACUUCCCCA